rnacentral:rRNA from 1 species
CCUACGGGUGGCUGCAGUGGGGAAUAUUGGACAAUGGGGGGAACCCUGAUCCAGCCAUGCCGCGUGUGUGAAGAAGGCCCUCGGGUUGUAAAGCACUUUCAGUGAGGAAGAACGCCUGGUGGUUAAUACCCAUCAGGAAAGACAUCACUCACAGAAGAAGCACCGUCUAACUCCGUGCCAGCAGCCGCGGUAAUACGGAGGGUGCGAGCGUUAAUCGGAAUUACUGGGCGUAAAGCGCGCGUAGGUGGCUUGAUAAGCCGGUUGUGAAAGCCCCGGGCUCAACCUGGGAACGGCAUCCGGAACUGUCAAGCUUGAGUGCAGGAGAGGAAGGUAGAAUUGCCGGUGUAGCGGUGAAAUGCGUAGAGAUCGGGAGGAAUACCAGUGGCGAAGGCGGCCUUCUGGACUGACACUGACACUGAGGUGCGAAAGCGUGGGUAGCAAACAGGAUUAGAUACCCUAGUAGUC